CCCUUAGAUGUUCUGGGCCGCGCACGCGCUACACUGGCAGGUUCAUCGAGCUUCAUGCCCUGAUCUGAGAAGAACGGGAAAUCUUUGAACACCUGCCGUGCUUGGGAUAGAUGUUUGCAAUUAUUCAUCUUCAACGAGGAUUGCCUUGUAAGCGCACGUCAUCAGCGUGCAUUGAAUACGACCCUGUAUUCUGUACACACCGCCCGUCGCUCCUACCGAUUGAAGUUUUCGGUGAAUUUACUGGAGAUCCCUUUUGAAGGUGGUUCGCCACUGGAAGAAGUAUUCAAAAGUAAAUGAAUCGAAUGCUUUAGAGGAAGGAGAAGUCGUAACA
rnacentral:rRNA from 1 species